rnacentral:rRNA from 1 species
AGCGGCGGACGGGUGAGUAACGCGUGGGAAUAUGCCCUUCUCUAAGGAAUAGCCUCGGGAAACUGAGAGUAAUACCUUAUACGCCCUUCGGGGGAAAGAUUUAUCGGAGAAGGAUUAGCCCGCGUUAGAUUAGGUAGUUGGUGGGGUAAUGGCCUACCAAGCCUACGAUCUAUAGCUGGUUUGAGAGGAUGAUCAGCCACACUGGGACUGAGACACGGCCCAGACUCCUACGGGAGGCAGCAGUAGGGAAUCUUAGACAAUGGGGGAAACCCUGAUCUAGCCAUGCCGCGUGUGUGAUGAAGGCCUUAGGGUCGUAAAGCACUUUCGCCAGAGAUGAUAAUGACAGUAUCUGGUAAAGAAACCCCGGCUAACUCCGUGCCAGCAGCCGCGGUAAUACGGAGGGGGUUAGCGUUGUUCGGAAUUACUGGGCGUAAAGCGUACGUAGGCGGAUUAGUAAGUUAGAGGUGAAAUCCCAGGGCUCAACCCUGGAACUGCCUUUAAUACUGCUAGUCUUGAGUUCGAGAGAGGUAAGUGGAAUUCCGAGUGUAGAGGUGAAAUUCGUAGAUAUUCGGAGGAACACCAGUGGCGAAAGCGGCUUACUGGCUCGAUACUGACGCUGAGGUACGAAAGUGUGGGGAGCAAACAGGAUUAGAUACCCUGUUAGUCACACGA